UACGGGGGGUGCGAGCGUUGUCCGGAAUCACUGGGCGUAAAGGGCGCGUAGGUGGCGUGAUAAGGGUGUGGUGAAAGCCCGGGGCUCAACCCCGGGUCGGCCAUGCCGACUGUCAGGCUCGAGUGCUGUAGGGGCAGGCGGAAUUCCGGGUGUAGCGGUGAAAUGCGUAGAUAUCAGGAGGAACACCUGUGGUGUAGACGGCUUACUGGACCAUGACUGACGCUGAGGCACGAAAGCGUGGGGAGCAAACAGG
rnacentral:rRNA from 1 species